UGAGUAUUCCCUCCGUUCCAUAAUGCUUGUCUCAAAUUUGCCUAAAUAUGGAUGUAUGUAUUUGUAAAAUGUGUCUAGAUACAUGUAAUAUUCUGACAAGAAUUAUGGAACGGAGGGAGUAAUAC
rfam:Brachypodium distachyon strain Bd21 chromosome 2, whole genome shotgun sequence.